rnacentral:rRNA from 1 species
AAGUCGUAACAAGGUCUCCGUAGGUGAACCUGCGGAGGGAUCAUUACACAAUAACCAGGCGGGCUGGACACCCCCCGCUGGGCACUGCUUCACGGCGUGCGCGGCGGGGCCGGCCCUGCUGAAUUAUUCACCCGUGUCUUUUGCGUACUUCUUGUUUCCUGGGUGGGCUCGCCCGCCCUCAGGACCAACCACAAACCUUUUGCAAUAGCAAUCAGCGUCAGUAACAACGUAAUUAAUUACAACUUUCAACAACGGAUCUCUUGGUUCUGGCAUCGAUGAAGAACGCAGCGAAAUGCGAUACGUAGUGUGAAUUGCAGAAUUCAGUGAAUCAUCGAAUCUUUGAACGCACAUUGCGCCCUUUGGUAUUCCAAAGGGCAUGCCUGUUCGAGCGUCAUUUGUACCCUCAAGCUUUGCUUGGUGUUGGGCGUCUUUUGUCUCCAGUUCGCUGGAGACUCGCCUUAAAGUCAUUGGCAGCCGGCCUACUGGUUUCGGAGCGCAGCACAAGUCGCGCUCUUUGCCAGCCAAGGUCAGCGUCCAGCAAGCCUUUUUUUCAACCUUCGACCUCGGAUCAGGUAGGGAUACCCGCUGAACUUAA